rnacentral:rRNA from 1 species
AUUGAACGCUGGCGGCAUGCCUUACACAUGCAAGUCGAACGGCAGCAUGGAAGAGCUUGCUCUUCUGAUGGCGAGUGGCGAACGGGUGAGUAAAGCAUCGGAACGUACCGUGUAAUGGGGGAUAAUGUAGCGAAAGUUACGCUAAUACCGCAUACGACCUGAGGGUGAAAGCAGGGGAUCGCAAGACCUUGCGUUAUACGAGCGGCCGAUGUCAGAUUAGCUAGUUGGUAGGGUAAAGGCCUACCAAGGCGACGAUCUGUAGCGGGUCUGAGAGGAUGAUCCGCCACACUGGGACUGAGACACGGCCCAGACUCCUGCGGGAGGCAGCAGUGGGGAAUUUUGGACAAUGGGGGACACCCUGAUCCAGCCAUGCCGUGUGAGUGAAGAAGGCCUUCGGGUUGUAAAGCUCUUUCGGCCGGGAAGAAAUCGCACAGGCUAAUACUCUGUGUGGAUGACGGUACCGGCAUAAGAAGCACCGGCUAACUACGUGCCAGCAGCCGCGGUAA